UACGGGGGGGGCAAGCGUUGUUCGGAAUUACUGGGCGUAAAGGGCUCGUAGGCGGCCAACUAAGUCAGACGUGAAAUCCCUCGGCUUAACCGGGGAACUGCGUCUGAUACUGGAUGGCUUGAGUUCGGGAGAGGGAUGCGGAAUUCCAGGUGUAGCGGUGAAAUGCGCAGAUAUCGGGAAGAACACCCGUGGCGAAGGCGGCUCUCUGGGACGGUACUGACGCUGAGACGCGAAAGCGUGGGGAGCGAACAGG
rnacentral:rRNA from 1 species